AUUGAACGCUGGCGGCAUGCUUUACACAUGCAAGUCGAACGGUAACAGGUUAAGCUGACGAGUGGCGAACGGGUGAGUAAUGCAUCGGAACGUGCCCGAUCGUGGGGGAUAACGCAGCGAAAGCUGCGCUAAUACCGCAUACGAUCUGAGGAUGAAAGCGGGGGACCGUAAGGCCUCGCGCGAUCGGAGCGGCCGAUGUCAGAUUAGGUAGUUGGUGGGGUAAAGGCCCACCAAGCCGACGACCUGUAGCUGGUCUGAGAGGACGACCAGCCACACUGGGACUGAGACACGGCCAAGACUCCUACGGGAGGCAGCAGUGGGGAAUUUUGGACAAUGGGCGAAAGCCUGAUCCAGCAAUGCCGCGUGCAGGAAGAAGGCCUUCGGGUUGUAAACUGCUUUUGUACGGAGCGAAAAGGCCCUUUCUAAUACAAGGGGCUCAUGACGGUACCGUAAGAAUAAGCACCGGCUAACUACGUGCCAGCCGCCGCCGUAAAAC
rnacentral:rRNA from 1 species